GAUGAACGCUGGCGGCGUGCCUAAUACAUGCAAGUCGAGCGAACAGACGAGGAGCUUGCUCCUCUGACGUUAGCGGCGGACGGGUGAGUAACACGUGGAUAACCUACCUAUAAGACUGGGAUAACUUCGGGAAACCGGAGCUAAUACCGGAUAAUAUAUUGAACCGCAUGGUUCAAUAGUGAAAGACGGUUUUGCGGUCACUUAUAGAUGGAUCCGCGCCGCAUUAGCUAGUUGGGAAGGUAACGGCUUACCAAGGCAACGAUGCGUAGCAGAGCGGAGAGGGUGAUCGCCCACACUGGAACUGAGACGCGGUCCAUACGCCUGCGGGAGGCAGCAGUAGGGAAUCUUCCGCAAUGGGCGAAAGCCUGACGGAGCGACGCCGCGUGAGUGAUAAAGGUCUUCGGAUCGUAAAACUCGGUUAUUAGGGAAGAACAAAUGUGUAAGUAACUGUGCACGUCUUGACGGUACCUGGUCAGAAAGCCACGGCUAACUACGUG
rnacentral:rRNA from 1 species